UACAGAGGGGGCAAGCGUUAUCCGGAAUUACUGGGUUUAAAGGGUGCGUAGGCGGCCAUGUAAGUCAGGAGUGAAAGUUUGCGGCUCAACCGUAAAAUUGCUUUUGAUACUGCAUGGCUGGAAUCAGGAUGAGGUCAGCGGAAUGUGGCAUGUAGCGGUGAAAUGCAUAGAUAUGCCAUAGAACACCAAUUGCGAAGGCAGCUGGCUAGACCUGUAUUGACGCUGAGGCACGAAAGCGUGGGGAGCGAACAGG
rnacentral:rRNA from 1 species